rnacentral:rRNA from 1 species
CCUACGGUGGGCAGCAGUGAGGAAUAUUGGUCAAUGGGCGCGAGCCUGAACCAGCCAAGUCGCGUGAGGGAAGACGGUCCUAUGGAUUGUAAACCUCUUUUGUCGGGGAGCAAAAGCCGCCACGCGUGCCGUUCCGAGAGUACCCGAAGAAAAAGCAUCGGCUAACUCCGUGCCAGCAGUCGCGGUAAUACGGGGGGUGCGGGCGUUAUCCGGAUUUAUUGGGUUUAAAGGGUGCGCAGGCGGCAGAUCAAGUCAGCGGUAAAAUUGUGAGGCUCAACCUGUUCGAGCCGGUGAAACUGGUGUUCUUGAGUGAGCGAGAGGUAUGCGGAAUUCGUGGUGUAGCGGUGAAAUGCAUAGAUAUCACGCAGAACUCCGAUUGCGAAGGCAGCAUACCGGCGCUCAACUGACGCUCAUGCACGAAAGUGUGGGUAUCGAACAGGAUUAGAUACCCCUGUAGUC